GCCUCGACAAUAUCGAAAAAGAUUCUGAAUUAACUAACGCUUUGUCGGCUUAAGAUGUUCAGACGCAAAAUGUCGUGUUUGUGGAAACAGCGGCGUUAAAGUAGAUUGCCGAGUGUACUUUAUCCGAGGUAGCUGAAAUCUUAUGAAACAGUAUGAAACGUGUAGACAGCGAAAUAUAUUUUGAAAAUCUGCCAGAAUAUCGCACUGUCUACUCUGAUACGCUUGGGAGAUUUUAAUGUAAUGAUAAAGGAAUUAGAAGAGAGAGAGGAUGAAUGGCAUAAUUGGCAUUUUUUCCACAUCUAACGCUACGCGCAAAUAUACAACCUCUCUAUGCGGAUCUACAUGAAGCACGGGCAUCCAUCAUUCACGCUGCAAACUAUAAGAAAGCCUUUUGUAUGUACCUGCA